rnacentral:rRNA from 1 species
UACAGAGGGUGCGAGCGUUGUCCGGAAUCACUGGGCGUAAAGGGCGCGUAGGCGGCGCGGUAAGCGUGCGGUGAAAGCCCGGGGCUCAACCCCGGGUCGGCCGUGCGAACUGGGUCACUGGAGCAGAAUAGAGGCAGGUGGAAUUCCGGGUGUAGCGGUGGAAUGCGUAGAGAUCCGGAAGAACACCGGUGGCGAAGGCGGCCUGCUGGGUUCUGGCUGACACUGAGGCGCGACAGCGUGGGGAGCAAACAGG